UACGGAGGGGGCUAGCGUUGUUCGGAAUUACUGGGCGUAAAGCGCGCGUAGGCGGACCUGGCAAGUCGGGGGUGAAAGCCCGAGGCUCAACCUCGGAACUGCCUUCGAUACUGCGGGUCUCGAGUCCGGGAGAGGUGAGUGGAAUUCCUAGUGUAGAGGUGAAAUUCGUAGAUAAGUUAGGAAGAACACCAGUGGGCGAAGGCGGCUCCAGCUGGCCCGGUAC
rnacentral:rRNA from 1 species